rnacentral:rRNA from 1 species
UACAGAGGGUGCAAGCGUUGUUCGGAAUUAUUGGGCGUAAAGCGCGUGUAGGCGGCUUUGCAAGUCGGGUGUGAAAGCCCUCAGCUCAACUGAGGAAGUGCGCCCGAAACUGCAGAGCUUGAGUGCCGGAGAGGGUGGCGGAAUUCCCCAAGUAGAGGUGAAAUUCGUAGAUAUGGGGAGGAACACCGGUGGGUGAAGGCGGC